CGUCUCAGUUCAGAUUGCAGGCUGCAACUCGCCUGCAUGAAGUCGGAAUUGCUAGUAAUCGCAGAUCAGCAUGCUGCGGUGAAUACGUUCCCGGGCCUUGUACACACCGCCCGUCACACCAUGGGAGUCGGUAACACCCGAAGUCGGUAGCCUAACCGUAAGGAGGGCGCCGCCGAAGGUGGGAUUGAUGACUGGGGUGAAGUCGUAACAAGGUAUC
rnacentral:rRNA from 1 species